AAGACCUUGCGCUUUUGGAGCGGCCGAUGUCUGAUUAGCUAGUUGGUGGGGUAAUGGCCUACCAAAGCUUCGAUCAGUAGCUGGUCUGAGAGGACGGCCAGCCACACUGGGACUGAGACACGGCCCAGACUCCUACGGGAGGCAGCAGUGGGGAAUUUUGGACAAUGGGCGCAAGCCUGAUCCAGCCAUGCCGCGCGAGUGAAGAAGGCCUUCGGGUUGUAAAGCUCUUUCAGCCGGGAAGAAAGGGCUGCGACUAAUAAUCGCAGUUCAUGACGGUACCGGAAGAAGAAGCACCGGCUAACUACGUGCCAGCAGCCGCGGUAAUACGUAGGGUGCGAGCGUUAAUCGGAAUUACUGGGCGUAAAGGGUGCGCAGGCGGUUUUGUAAGUCAGAUGUGAAAUCCCCGGGCUUAACCUGGGAACU
rnacentral:rRNA from 1 species